rnacentral:tRNA from 1 species
AAAAAUUUAGUUAAAAGUAUAACAUUAGUUUGUCAAGCUAAAAUUAUUUAAACUAAAUAAUUUUUA